rnacentral:rRNA from 1 species
AGAGUUUGAUCCUGGCUCAGGACGAACGCUGGCGGCGUGCCUAAUACAUGCAAGUAGAACGCUGAAGACUUUAGCUUGCUAAAGUUGGAAGAGUUGCGAACGGGUGAGUAACGCGUAGGUAACCUGCCUACUAGCGGGGGAUAACUAUUGGAAACGAUAGCUAAUACCGCAUAACAGCAUUUAACACAUGUUAGAUGCUUGAAAGGAGCAAUUGCUUCACUAGUAGAUGGACCUGCGUUGUAUUAGCUAGUUGGUGAGGUAACGGCUCACCAAGGCGACGAUACAUAGCCGACCUGAGAGGGUGAUCGGCCACACUGGGACUGAGACACGGCCCAGACUCCUACGGGAGGCA